rnacentral:rRNA from 1 species
AUUGAACGCUGGCGGCAGGCCUAACACAUGCAAGUCGAGCGGAUGAAGGGAGCUUGCUCCUGGAUUCAGCGGCGGACGGGUGAGUAAUGCCUAGGAAUCUGCCUGGUAGUGGGGGAUAACGUCCGGAAACGGGCGCUAAUACCGCAUACGUCCUGAGGGAGAAAGUGGGGGAUCUUCGGACCUCACGCUAUCAGAUGAGCCUAGGUCGGAUUAGCUAGUUGGUGGGGUGAAGGCCUACCAAGGCGACGAUCCGUAACUGGUCUGAGAGGAUGAUCAGUCACACUGGGACUGAGACACGGUCUAGACUCCUACGGGAGGCAGCAGUGGGCAAUAUUGGACAAUGGGCGAAAGCCUGAUCCAGCCAUGGCGCGUGUGUGAAGAUGGUCUUCUGAUUGUAGAGCACUUUAAGUUGGGAGGAAGGGCAGUAAGGUAAGACCUGGCUGUUUUGACGUUACUAACAGAAUAAGCACCGGCUAACUUCGUG